rnacentral:rRNA from 1 species
CAGCCGCCACGGGAAUACGUAGGGUGCGAGCGUUAAUCGGAAUUACUGGGCGUAAAGCGUGCGCAGGCGGUUGUGUAAGACAGGUGUGAAAUCCCCGGGCUUAACCUGGGAACUGCGCUUGUGACUGCACAGCUAGAGUAUGGCAGAGUGGGGUGGAAUUCCACGUGUAGCAGUGAAAUGCGUAGAGAUGUGGAGGAACACCGAUGGCGAAGGCAGCCCCCUGGGCCAAUACUGACGCUCAUGCACGAAAGCGUGGGGAGCAAACAGGAUUAGAUACCCCCGUAGUCCCUGUCUCUUAUAC